CCUACGGGAGGCAGCAGUGAGGAAUAUUGGUCAAUGGACGAGAGUCUGAACCAGCCAAGUAGCGUGAAGGAUGACUGCCCUAUGGGUUGUAAACUUCUUUUAUAUGGGAAUAAAAUGUUCCACGUGUGGGAUUUUGUAUGUACCAUAUGAAUAAGGAUCGGCUAACUCCGUGCCAGCAGCCGCGGUAAUACGGAGGAUCCGAGCGUUAUCCGGAUUUAUUGGGUUUAAAGGGAGCGUAGGUGGAUUGUUAAGUCAGUUGUGAAAGUUUGCGGCUCAACCGUAAAAGUGCAGUUGAAACUGGCAGUCUUGAGUACAGUAGAGGUGAGCGGAAUUCGUGGUGUAGCGGUGAAAUGCUUAGAUAUCACGAAGAACGCCGAUUGCGAAGGCAGUUCACUGGACUGCAACUGACACUGAGGCUCGAAAGUGUGGGUAUCAAACAGGAUUAGAUACCCGAGUAGUC
rnacentral:rRNA from 1 species